CUAGUUUUUUUAGGAGAUCUGCAGUGUUGUGGGAGAAGCACCCGAGUUCUUACCACAAUCAACAAAAUGCUAUGGAAGCUAAUAUAUAUCUUCUCUGUAGUAGCAUGAUAAAUCCUUUUAGUAAUUCACAGCUUUUGCUCAACUCUAACAUGCCUACAGCAUUUUAGAACCCUUUGUGUUGUCUGAUGGUUGUGAUCUGUCUGGUACUGGACUCUACAAAGCCUGUGAUGGGCCCUCUGAGAAGUACUGAAUGCAGCCAGGGGAGGCAGUCUCGUUCCCUUGAAUUCCACUUCAGGAAGAAGAACACAUGGAGCCACAUACUAGGUAGGAGAGGGAAUUGCUGGAGUAGGAAGACUGCUGCUGCCUGACACUGUUUCUGUCUGUGGCUGUGGGGGAUGUAGUUGCUCGGUUGCUUCAGUUGUACUCAUUGGCUAGAAUUAGAUCUUCUCAAAAACGGCUGUUUCCCUUGCUCUGAGACUUCACUGUAAAGUAACAAUGAUUCAGCCAUUAUUGAAAGAUAUCCUAGUAUUAGGGUAAUGCAUUGCUUGCUGGGAGUGUUAGCAUAACUACUUUGUACCAGAGAAUGCAGCCUUCUCCAUAGCUGGGAUGGAAAUAGGCACUUUCCUACCUCCCUUCUAACCUGUGCUCUGUCAUUUAGGAAUAGACAUUGCCUGAAGAAGACCAUGUUUUGUUAAUCACAGGGUCUAUAGACAAAUUGGAAGUCAAUCCUGAAAUGUCAUGCAAGGUAUUAAUGGAUUAUGUAUAUUUAGGAGGGGAAGGAAAGUUUCUGCCAUAUUCUGAGAGGUAAGGAUGGGAACACUUACACUUUAUACAGCUAUUGGUAUAGUGGCAUAUCUACUUUAUGUACAAGUAAUCAAUCUCGAUUAGAAUUUUAUUUCUGUCUUUCUCCUGCAAUUUUUCUUUUCACCAUUCAAAGUGCUGUGUUUUGUUACAAAAUCCACUCUUUUCCCCAAAGGUGUGAGGUGACUGUCCCCAGCAGAUGUUUAGAUGGAUGAUUCUUGAUUAGAAUCUUGAUUAGUCUCUGAGGGACUGAGAGUCAAAACCCUAACCUCUUCCCAAUCCUGAACAGCUUUAUUAAGUGCCACUGCUUACUUAUUUUACAGUGCUUUAACUAUGUCUGUCUGUAAUUAUACUCUGGUAUAAUAUAGUCAUAGCUGCUGAAUACUGUCUUGAUAAUCACUAGCUAUUCUGUAAACAGCCUGACCUAGUUGCUGUAUAUAUCUUACAGGUAGUGCAGCUCUUGCUAGAACCUCUUAUUACAUAAAGUCCUGCAGACAGGCAGAAGUUCACUUGCAUGUGACCAUACUUUGUAAUGGUGGAAGGAAAAAAAGCUUUCUGGCAAAGGUACCAGCGUGUUAAAAUAUAUGUGCUUGACUCAGGAAAGUAUUGAAAAAAGCUUCUCCAUGGAAAGAGUUCUACUUACUAAAGCAAUGUGCUGUGAUUACACAGGUCAGUGAAAUGCACCUGAGUUACUCUAUGGUUUUAGACAAAUACUUUGUCUUACUUGUCUACAUUUCCUCGAGAGUAAAAUUAGAAUAAUGAUCACUUAGUGAAUAGUGUCAUGAGGGUAAGCUGCUUCUAGGAUGGGAAUUUACCUCAGAAGAACCUUGUGUAAAGAGCAGCUUAGUGUGGAUACGGUAGGACUUGUACCUCCACAUAUUUCAGAGCUUUAUUUCAGAGAUGAUUGUAUGCAACAGUUGAUGACAUUUUUAACACAUAAAACAAGCUGUGUUUAUAGGCAUAGGAGCAUUUACAUGAAGCCUCCAACAUAAAGCAGUAUUCAGCUGGCUUGUCCAAACUGGCAUAUUUAUAUUGGAGAGGAGCCUGUGAAUGAAGCAGUGCAGAUGCCACCUAGACAGACAACGUUACUUGCAUGAGCGGAUGGGAAGCGAUUGAUACUCUGGCUGCAUGUGAGGCAGCAUGUGUUAUUUCUUGGCUGUCCAUCCUGGGUCUGUUUGGUGCAACUGUGUGCAGUCUCCAUCCAUUCUCAUCACUUGUGCUCGUGUAUUUAACUUGAAGGCAAAGAGCUAUGAAGUCUCCAGCAACUAAAAAGUAACAUGGAUGAGACUGUUCAGCUGCCAAGUUCAAAUCACUACCUGAACAUUACCUAAUUUCUCACUGAAGUUACAGCACUGCCAGUAUUGAACUGAAUCUGAGAUGCUUUUACACACUGAUGGCCCCAGUGUGAAAGGUGAAAUAUAAACCUGAAAUCUAUCAU